UCUCUCUCUCUCUCUUUCUCUUACUCUUACUCUCUUGCAGUGAAGUUCGUGGUGGUUCAAGCGUUGGCGAUGAUCAAGACGAAAGCGACCGACUCUGUACGAGGAUGCGCGAAGGGAACCAACGAAUUUGACCGAUCGUUUUGACUGCGUGCGCAACGAGGAGUGAGGAGUAACAGAGAGGGAUCAGCCGAGGCUACUCGCACCGGCGCGAUUGCGUCUCGAAGACGCGUGGGUGUUCGGUACCGCCAUCACUACUGUUCGUAGCGAAAGGAAGUCUGCACGCGAAGCUAUGCGCGGUAGCCCAGCAAUCAAAGACUAGGACAAGAGAAAUGUAACAUUUUUAGGGGCUCGUUUGGGAUAGAAGAAAUAAAAAAAAAGUAUCAAUACAUAGCUUCGCAGAAGAGGCGUGAUAAGCAGCGGUCGGAGGAAAAAGGGGAGAUAGAGUUCCAGACGCUGACUCUUCUCGUUCAGAAGCUCCGGAAAGAACCCUGAAAAUAGCGGAGGAAGCUUGUAGCAGAGCGGUAACACAACAACCGAAAUGUAUGGUCCAAGAUUAGCACUGGCUAUUUACAAGGAAAAGAAAAAGAAACUCUGGUGAAAAGAAAUACAGGACUUAGUAAUUUGAUUAAGCGGGAAGUUUCCUUUAAAAAAGAAAGGUUGACCACGAAGACCAAGAUGCUAUGCAGAUUAGAGUUGAAGUGAGUAAAGAAAGAAAGGAAGAGAGAAGAACACUACCAGUUAUCGUCCGACUCCCGGAGUUUCUUAAACCAUGGUUUUCCCUCCGGGCAAAGAGAGUUAAUGUUCCAGAUCGAUAUUAGGACGGAGUUGUUCAAUAGGUAAGCCCCAUAGUAGCCCACCGCCUCCCCAAGGAGAUAUUCCAAGCGAGAACGGAAAAGAUCGGAAGGAACCUGAAAGAGAACUAUUGCCAAGUAGAGACCAAGAAACGGAUACCGCUUUAGUUCCUGAAGAACAUCGGGUUGGGACCGAGGAAUAGGGCAGCAUGAAGGAUUCAGCUAGGAUCAAAUGUUUUCACCGAAGAGUCCUAGAGUCCAGUUCUUGAAACAAGGAAAAGUUGGAAGGGAUCUGCUUGGCGAAGACCUUAGUUAUCGGGACAAUAAUUCGAAGAAUGAGGGCAGUGUUACAAUUCUAGAGACGUCCUGAGUGUGUUCGGAAUAAAUAGACCGUUUCCAGGAACCGAGAUGUUGACAGAUUUCGACAAACAGUUGUCUUUGACAAGAGCUCGAUGAGAGAAGAAGUGGAGCACGAACGCUCCCGAUUGCGAAGAUUGUUGUAAAACCGGAUUGUACAUUGAACUAUUCUUAUUUGUAAUAAAGUUUCGUUGACGUUUCCUUCUUGAGAGUGUAAUAAUAUUUAACCUGUUAGCUAUUUAUGACGAGUAUAUAAUGAAUAUAAUACUAAGUAAUAUACAGAUUUAUUAUAUUUAAAGUAAGAGCUACUUGAAUAUCUCGUUUGUUAGGUGCAAUAGAAAAAGAACGUAUUAAAAAAAGUUUCAUGAUUUCAUAUGUCAAAUAUUUUAAGAGGACAAAAUAUAAAGCAUCUGAUUUCCGAUUAAAUUGAAAGUUUAACGAUUUUUAAUUUUUCCGAUUUUAACGAUUUUUAUAUAAAAGAACUCCAUGUAUUUUUCUAAUUACUUAGAUAUUUUAAUCAAUUAUCUUCAAAAAAUUAUUAAACAAGUGUAGGCCUGAAUUUAAUAAUUAAUGAGAUGUUAGCGUGUAUAGUUAUAUGACCAUAUAACAUAAUAGUACAUAACCAAUAAUACAUACUUCCAUACGUAAACAAUUUUAAGAGAACAUGAAAUAAUGAAAAUUGUACAAAACCAUCUUACAAUAAGUUUAGGUAUUAUCUUACAAAGACUGUUAAUUGAAAACAAAAACAUGAAAAUUAAUUUAUAAUAACAAAAAAGAUAAUAGCUUACUUAAUUCAAUAAAUCCAAAGUAUUCACUACUUUCUUAUAUGUACAAUCGACAUCUUAUAACCAUACUUCUUCAUAAUUUUUCUAACAUUUCAGAUGUUAUUUAAUUAACGGCAUUUAUAAU